rnacentral:rRNA from 1 species
AGUCCUGGCGGCACGCUACACACGCAGUCUAACGAGUAGCAUACUUAUGGCAGACGGGUGAGUAACAUGUGGGUAUCUGCCCUUUGGCCUGGAAUAACACGAGGAAACUUGUGCUAAUACCGGAUAAGUCUUUACGGAGAAAGCUUUAUGCACCAUUGGAUGAGCCUGCACUUGAUUAGUUUGUUGGUGGGUAAUGGCCUACCAAGACUGUGAUCAAUAGCUGAUUUGAGAGGAUGAUCAGCAACAUUGGGGCUGAGACACGGCCCAAACUCCUACGGGAGGCAGCAGUGGGGAAUCUUGCACAAUGGAGGAAACCCUGACGCAGCCACGCCGCGUGAGUGAUGAAGGCCUUCGGGUUGUAAAGCUCUUUCGUCGGGGAAGAAAAUGACUGUACCCGAAUAAGAAGGUCCGGCUAACUUCGUGCCAGCAGCCGCGGUAAUACGAAGGGACCUAGCGUAGUUCGGAAUUACUGGGCUUAAAGAGUUCGUAGGUGGUUGAAAAAGUUAGUGGUGAAAUCCAGAACUUAACUCUGGAACUUGGCCCAUUAAAACUUUUCAGCUAAGAGUAUGAUAGACGGCAAGCAGAAUUCCUAGUGGAGAGGUGACAUUCGUAGAUAUUAGAAAGAAUACCAAUUGGGAAGGGCAGGUUUCCUGGAUCAUUACUGGACCUGAGGGACCGAAGCCUUGGUUCCGAGAGGAUAAAUCCCUGCUGCCAUGCCGAACGAGGUGUAAACUGGCAAUAU